UACGUAGGGUGCAAGCGUUUGUCCGGAAUUAUUGGGCGUAAAGAGCUCGUAGGCGGUUUGUCGCGUCUGCUGUGAAAACUCGGGGCUUAACCCCGGGCCUGCAGUGGGUACGGGCAGACUAGAGUCCGGAAGGGGAGAGUGGAAUUCCUGGUGUAGCGGUGAAAUGCGCGAUAUCGAGGAAGAACGAGCCCGUAGGCGUAAGGCGGCGUCCUCUAGU
rnacentral:rRNA from 1 species